UCUAGAGUGCUCCUGUGUGAUUCCGGAAAACAAAACCCUCACUACUGCAGCAAAGUUCGACAGCUACACCCUAUCAUCCCAGCAUGGUGUGUCCUGGUGCGCUGAGGAAACAUCUCCUUCUCUUCCUGCUCUUUCCUGCAGUGUGUGCUAACAUUGCAAAUCUUCAUAAGAUCAUCAAAUUCUUCAAUGAAAAAUAUGGAUCUGAAGGUCAACAAUUUGCUGUGGCCAUCAAUGUCAAAGCUGAACAGUGUUCUACAAAUGACCUUGAUCAGAACUUCCUUGAUCAAUAUCCUUCAGAUGUAGUGAAAAACAACUUGGCUGGUGUGAAUAAAGUUUUUAUAGGUGAUCGUCUGAUUGCUGCCAGACCAAAACCAAUCCCUGGAUCUAACAACAACUACCACUCUGAAUAUCUCCUGCUCAUUAAUUCAACGUUACCCAAUCAAGAGGUACCACCCAUAUGGCAUCUCCUGAAUACAGACAAUAAUGGCUGUGUAGUUUUCUACACCUACAACUCCCCCUGCGUUAAGACCUGCUCAACACCUAAUAACUGUUACAGCAUUAUCCCUGCCCUUGACAUGAUUAAAGUUCACAGUGGUCCAAAAGCGUUUGUUUUCUGGCAGGUUUGGCAACAUGAUAAUAACUCUAUUAAAUGGAAAGAAAAUAUAAAAUCUAUAAAUGAUAAAGUGCCUCUCUACCAUUGUGAUGCAACUCAGUGUACCCUUUGUGUAAACAAAAAUAAUAGAAUUGAGAAAAAAUGUGUGGCCCAAAAAAAUCAGAAUUAGUUUUACCAGCCAGAAAGAUAUAAAGGGCACUGGAUUUGCCAGUUGCUGUCAUUAAAAGUGCAUUAAAUAAGAAAUCACAAUAAAAUAAUAAAAAGAGCAUGAAUGUUUUUGUGGUUUAAAGCCAAAAUGUUCAACCAUAUUAAGUGUGUUUCUCAAAGCAUAGAUAAAUCUUUGUGCAUUUUAACAUCCUCUUUUCUUGGAAAGGUCUUCUCUGCUGAAAUAUGUAUAAAAAUGUGGAUUCUUUGAAUGACUGUUAGACAUUCCCUGGACAAUGCCUCAUUUGUACAUUAUAUUGAACUGCAAAUAAAUACAUAGCCUGCUAUUCUCUUCAA